ACCAAACAACAGGCAUCCUAGAAGCAAACACACUGAUCCAGGAGGGCUGAGAGCUGACCGAGAGGAAAUGACAGGAGGAUGUGUAUUUACCAGGAGGUUUUGGAAAUCUUUUACCAUUAACAGAUCUAACUUUUAACCUAAAGAAAGAUGAAAUUGUGUCAAGAUGAAACCUGUCUACAUUCUUUAGGAGAAAUUAAUAAAAUUUUCAUUUCUGUGAGGAUCUACGGUGGCUACUCGUCAAUGCAGGAAGUUGUCAUUCACAUACAAAUCUCUGCAGCAGAUCUGUUAGCAAAGAACAUACACCUCAGCAAACAAGUCCUCCCUGUGACUGUCUUUGCUUCUGUUCACUCUCAUACUGACAUUAUUGGAAGACAAUUCAUUUUCAGCAGCAAAAGAAACCAUUUCUUUCUCCAUGCCCUUAUAAUAUUGUUCUUAGACCACACCAUUGUUUUCAGUGCAUUAAGCUGAUCUGAUGUGUUAUUGUUCAUGCUUGAUCAGUCAUAGGUCAUGCAAGAAGGCUCUUCAAUCAGCAAAUAUUUGGAUGGAUGCUCAAGUCAAAAGCUAUUUCAGAAAUAGAGAUGUUACAACUGGUCACAGAUAAUGCAUGUUCUAGUUUUACUGAAUGCUCUGAGGAAGGCAGAUAUGAAAGUACUCAGUUACAGCCCUUAAAAUGGAGCGGAUUCUCUUUGGAAGAAGCACAAGAAGUAACACUGCAUCAUAGACAAGCUGAAGAAAAUAAGAGCUCAAAUGAAAAAAUUGCAAUGAAAGACCAUUUUCCCUUUCUAUGAAUUUCAAAGACCUUGAGAACAUGAUUUUGUUUACAUAUAACUCUGUAAACGUUGGUAUUGUGGAGGAGUGGCUGCUACCCUGAGGGCUGAUGCUCCUGAUGUUCUUUAAACCACUGUUGAUUUCUCAUGCAUGUUCCCACUUUCUUGGGCCAAUCUCCUCAUGCCCAGGCUCUCUUUCACCUUUCCAGGUGGUAAGUUGUUCCCCAGUUUCUUGUGUCCUCCUCAAUGGUCUCUUCAGGGUAUUCCCCAUGCUCAGGUGUCCAGCUGCACAUCAAGGACAUCCGUGGCUCCCAGGCACAGUUCCCAGGCCGAAGGCCAAGCUCCUAGCCUGGACCCCAGCCUGGCAGAUGUUGCUCCCAUCAGUGUGGAGGGGCCAUUUCAUGUCAGCAUUUUUUCACAAGUCACAUUAAAUCCCUAAGUGCUGCCACCAGGGGCACCCCAAGAGCCUUUUGAUGUUACUAGAGUCAUUGUCACCCUAUGGCCUCACAAAAGGCAGCUGGCUGUAAGUGCCCUGAGCAUCCAGCCUGUGUCCAGUCCAGCUGGUGGCACUCGAGAGCUUGAGAUCCUAGUGCUGGAAAGUGAGAUCUGGAGGUGUUGCUAGUGGAAGGCAUGACAUCGCGGUCAUUCCGGUGGCACAUGAGAGGUCACGGUCCUUCCUAUGACAAGAGAGUCAUGAUGUCUCCUUCUGGAUGGCAGGUGAGGCAGCCCAGUCCUUCUGGUGGAACUUGAGAUGUCAAAGUCUUUCUGGUGGCAUGUAAGAUGUUGAGAUUCCCCUGGUUGCAGGCAAGGCAUAAAAGUCUUCCUGGUGGAGCACAAGGCCUCAAGGUGCUGCUGGUGGGCUGCAGCUCUCUGAGAUUCUGCCAGCGACCUGGGAGGGAGGUGCUGAGGACCGGAGGCAUUUGAUACCUGCUUGUCAUCAGAGCAGGGUCCCACGGAGCACAAGCAUCUCCCCACCAGGACAGAGGCGAGCACCAUGAGCCAGCCACACCAGGAGCUGCCAGCAGAGGUGCCCAGAGAAGAGUCGUGCACCCUCUGCCUGGGCCCACCGGCUGACGGAGCUUGGCUGGACCCCUGCAGGCACUCCUGCAUGGAGUGCAUCCAGCCAUGGGCUGCCCACAGAGCCACCUGUCCGCUCUGCCGGCGGCCCAUCCUGGCCAUCGUGAGGCUGGUGCCGUGCUCCGUGCAGGACGCCUUGGCUUGCCAGCCCUGGGGAAGGGCCCAAAGCAACGCGGGGCUGGGGUGGCGACAGCAGCAGUGGUGGUGGAGCCCCUCCAGCUACCGGUCCUGCAGUG
rnacentral:lncRNA from 1 species